UAUUAGGAAGAUAAUCUUCCCAAAGAACUAGAGAAUUCUAGUCUCUGAUUUUUUUUUUUAUUAUUCUUAAAAAGAAUUCUCACUUUAGCCUUUUUCAUUGAAAGAAGAUAAGGUUGUAAAAUUCCAAAGAGAUUGCAUCACUCAGGAACCACCACAACUCCUCUUUCGUGGAUGGGUCAGAGUAAAGAAUAUUGACCUCCCCUUUCUCUACAAGGCCUUGUUCUGUCUGAGAAGGAAGAAUGGAUGGAGAAACCGAGAUAAAUGUAAAACAAUCAGCCAUAUGGCAACAAGAGGAAAAUGUCAGGCACUGAAACCCAGACGUGCAACCUCCUGCCUCCGUGUUUCCUCUCCGGAGGAAGAGCCCGGACCAUACAAUACUCCCAGAGUUGCAAAAGACACCAUGGAAUGAAGAUCUCAACCUGAUGGCAGGGGUGGAGAAGUUGUGUGCAUGCCUAGAAGACACAUGAGGGAUCUUAGCCAUUGAAGAACGAGUGUGUGAAUGAGUUUGCUUUAAUGGCAACCCCCAAGAUGGUUAUAUAUGUUUAUUGACUUGAACGUCUCUAAUAACAUGACCAUGAAAUGUUCCUGUUGACUUAGGUCACUGUGUGAAGUUCAUUGUGGUACAAAGGAUGCUUGAGAAACUUUGGGGAACUCUGACUUAAGAAGUAAACUAAUAAGGUUAGAGGGGGAAAUAGUGAGGAAACUUGGGAAAGUGAGAGGGGAGAUCUGAGAUAGAUAUGAUCAAAAAUAGAGUGUAUCUACAUGUUUGAGAUAGUAAACAAAACAUAUUCUAAAAAUAAUGAAUAAACACCAGGGACAGAUUUAUGUUUGCUAAGUAAAAUGGGGUCACCAGGAGGACAGUUGUUGAUCCUCAUCUUUCUUUUUAAAAGUCGAAACUUCCUCUACAGGAAGGAAUCCCCACUGGUUCUCCUUUUCACACACUAUGGGCCAGGGUUUCCAUGAUUCUAGUUAUCAGCUUCAGGGAAGUGUGAGUUUCUCCUGUCCUUUUUUUCAUUUAAGGCCUGCUGGCUUCCUCUGCUCCUUGCCCAGUCUCCAUCUCUUAGAAUAGCCACUGUUUCACCUUCCUCAGGUCCCACCAGAUCCAAAUACUUCCUGAAAACACUGUUUUUCAAUUAAAAAAAAAUGCACUGGAGCCAGGCAUGAUGGCACACACCUUUACCCCCAGCACGCAGGAGGCCCAGGCAGGCUGAUCUUUGUGAGUUAGAGGCCAGCCUGGGGUUCAAGGUGAGACUCUGUCUCAAAAGGAAUAAAAGUAACAAAUGUUGUUUCAGGCUGAAAACUUUCUGCCUGUGAAUCCCAGUUGCAGCAUGCCGUGCAAGAUCAUUCGGUAUACUGUGUUCACUUCCCUCACCUGGAAAGAGGGUUUCUGCAAUCUCUGAGGUGCGCUGUGAAGGUUAAACAAAGUAACACAAGCGUAGUAAUAUCUCAGCUCUGUAUUUACUGGCUAUCACCAGCCUAGCUGCUGGAAGAUACUUAGUAAAAUAAACUACAGGCUUUUGUGAGUAGAGUCAUUAAAGAUGUAACAACGUUACAAUGUUAAAUUAAAUGUUCGAUGUUAUAAUGUUAAAUUAAAGAUGCUACAAUACAUCUGUCAUGUGAAAGGAACCAGCCUCACCCAAGGGUGGGGAGGGGGCAGCAUCUAAGUCAAUGGUCAAUAAAUGUUUGUUGAGUUCAUCAUUGAAGCCUGGAUUCUCCUAGUUCUUCCACAUUCCAGAACAGGAUGACAUCUGAAUCAGACCGGAGUUCAGUUCUGGAGAUGGUUGUGACAGAAAGACACAAGAAGGCCCGCCACUGUGGAGUGAGGAUGGCACUUUCCCCACCACGCACCAACUGUGCUGUUUCCUGUAGUUCUCAACGCCACCCUGGUGGUUAUGGACAGUCUACGUCUUUAGGGGAUUAGAUACUUGUUCAAGGUAACCUGGGCAUCAAGUGACUGUAUAGUCUCUACUCAGUCAUUGUUUGGUCCCUAUUGUGUGACAGCCACAGUUGAGGACACAGAAAUUUGGCGGCCUGGGGUUGGCAGACUCCUUUUUAGGAAUCAGAUAAAACUUUUUCUUGUCCAGAUUUUUCUCCUGUAGUGUUGUGCUGAAAUCUUUUCUGGGUCAAACCUGAAAGACAAAGGAAGAAGAGAAGGGAUGAGGAGGAGGAGAAGGAGGGAGAGGAGAUGAGGAGGAGAAUGGAGAAGAAGGAGGGCGUGACAAGUUCUGUAUAUAACGUCUUGGGAUUCCAUCUGUGACAUUUGCAUUAUGACUGUGGGAUGGGAGGACCACUCACUGUGUGGGCUCAUGGGUGAGUUAAACCCAAGUCAGGAGUCCUGAGGGCCAGUGCAGAAGAGGGAGGCGUUGGAGUGGUGCACGGGCACUAGGAUCAGCCUGGCCAGACUGGAGUUCUGCUUCUGUGACUUACAAGUCAGAUCAAGUCUCUUAUACACGACAGAUUUUUGUUCUGCCGUAUGUUGUAUGUGAUGAUGAAAGUAAGUUAUUCACAGCAACAGUGACUCUAGAAGGCAUUGUGCUGAGUGAAAGAAGCCAGGGCAAAAGUCCAUACUGGUCAGAGAAUACCACCCAGUUGGCAGAGUGCUUACCGAGCAGCACAAAGCCCUGGCUUCUGCCCCCAGCCCGGCAUAAAACUGAGCUCAGUGGUACACACCUGUGAUCCUCGCACCUAGGAGGUAGGCAUAAGGAGGACCAGAAGCCAUCGUCAUCCUCAGAUGCAUAGAAAUCUCAAGGCAAGUUUGGGCUACAAGAGACUCUACCUCAACAACAACAAAACCAUGAAAACCAAGUUGGUCUGAGAGUGACAGGGACAGUUGAGGGGUAGAAGGAAGCUUUGGGGUGAUGGAAUCAGUCUUUAUUUUGG